rnacentral:rRNA from 1 species
GAAAGUUGCCGGCAGCCUACACAUGCAGUCGAGCGGCAGCGACAUAAACAAACCUUCGGGGGCGCUUAUGGGCGGCGAGCGGCGGACGGGUGAGUAAUGCCUGGGAAAUUGCCCUGAUGUGGGGGAUAACCAUUGGAAACGAUGGCUAAUACCGCAUAAUAGCUUCGGCUUAAAGAGGGGGACCUUCGGGCCUCUCGCGUCAGGAUAUGCCCAGGUGGGAUUAGCUAGUUGGUGAGGUAAGGGCUCACCAAGGCGACGAUCCCUAGCUGGUCUGAGAGGAUGAUCAGCCACACUGGAACUGAGACACGGUCCAGACUCCUACGGGAGGCAGCAGUGGGGAAUAUUGCACAAUGGGCGCAAGCCUGAUGCAGCCAUGCCGCGUGUAUGAAGAAGGCCUUCGGGUUGUAAAGUACUUUCAGCAGUGAGGAAGGCGGAUGUGUUAAUAGCGCAUUCGUUUGACGUUAGCUGCAGAAGAAGCACCGGCUAACUCCGUGCCAGCAGCCGCGGUAAUACGGAGGGUGCGAGCGUUAAUCGGAAUUACUGGGCGUAAAGCGCAUGCAGGUGGUCUGUUAAGUCAGAUGUGAAAGCCCGGGGCUUAACCUCGGAAUAGCAUUUGAAACUGGCAGGCUAGAGUACUGUAGAGGGGGGUAGAAUUUCAGGUGUAGCGGUGAAAUGCGUAGAGAUCUGAAGGAAUACCGGUGGCGAAGGCGGCCCCCUGGACAGAUACUGACACUCAGAUGCGAAAGCGUGGGGAGCAAACAGGAUUAGAUACCCUGGUAGUCCACGCCGUAAACGAUGUCUACUUGGAGGUUGUGGCCUUGAGCCGUGGCUUUCGGAGCUAACGCGUUAAGUAGACCGCCUGGGGAGUACGGUCGCAAGAUUAAAACUCAAAUGAAUUGACGGGGGCCCGCACAAGCGGUGGAGCAUGUGGUUUAAUUCGAUGCAACGCGAAGAACCUUACCUACUCUUGACAUCCAGAGAACUUAGCAGAGAUGCUUUGGUGCCUUCGGGAACUCUGAGACAGGUGCUGCAUGGCUGUCGUCAGCUCGUGUUGUGAAAUGUUGGGUUAAGUCCCGCAACGAGCGCACCCUUAUCCUUGUUUGCCAGCGAGUAAUGUCGGGAACUCCAGGGAGACUGCCCGGUGAUAAACCGGAGGAAGGU